UGCGAGUGAAGCGGGAAAAGCUCAAAUUUAAAAUCUGGCGGUCUUUGGCUGUCCGAGUUGUAAUCUAGAGAAGUGUUAUCCGCGCUGGACCGUGUACAAGUCUCCUGGAAUGGAGCGUCAUAGAGGGUGAGAAUCCCGUCUUUGACACGGACUGCCAGGGCUUUGUGAUGCGCUCUCAAAGAGUCGAGUUGUUUGGGAAUGCAGCUCAAAAUGGGUGGUAAAUUCCAUCUAAAGCUAAAUAUUGGCGAGAGACCGAUAGCGAACAAGUACCGUGAGGGAAAGAUGAAAAGAACUUUGGAAAGAGAGUUAAACAGUACGUGAAAUUGCUGAAAGGGAAACGCUUGAAGUCAGUCGCGUUGGCCGGGAAUCAACCUUGCUCUUUUGCUUGGCGUACUUUCUGGUUGACGGGUCAGCAUCAAUUUUGACCGUUGGAUAAAGGCUUGGGGAAUGUGGCAUCUUCGGAUGUGUUAUAGCCCCUGGUUGCAUACAACGGUUGGGAUUGAGGAACUCAGCACGCCGCAAGGCCGGGUUUUUAACCACGUUCGUGCUUAGGAUGCUGGCAUAAUGGCUUUAAUCGACCCGUCUUGAAACACGGACCAAGGAGUCUAACAUGCCUGCGAGUGUUUGGGUGGAAAACCCGGACGCGUAAUGAAAGUGAAAGUUGAGAUCCCUGUCGCGGGGAGCAUCGACGCCCGGACCAGAAAUUUAUGGACGGUUCCGCGGUAGAGCAUGUAUGUUGGGACCCGAAAGAUGGUGAACUAUGCCUGAAUAGGGUGAAGCCAGAGGAAACUCUGGUGGAGGCUCGUAGCGAUUCUGACGUGCAAAUCG
rnacentral:rRNA from 1 species